CCUACGGGAGGCAGCAGUGAGGAAUAUUGGUCAAUGGACGCAAGUCUGAACCAGCCAUGCCGCGUGCAGGAUGACGGCUCUAUGAGUUGUAAACUGCUUUUGUACGAGGGUAAACCCCGAUACGUGUAUCGGGUUGAAAGUAUCGUACGAAUAAGGAUCGGCUAACUCCGUGCCAGCAGCCGCGGUAAUACGGAGGAUCCGAGCGUUAUCCGGAUUUAUUGGGUUUAAAGGGUGCGUAGGCGGUUUGAUAAGUUAGAGGUGAAAUGUCGGGGCUCAACCCCGAAACUGCCUCUAAUACUGUUGGACUAGAGAAUAGUUGCGGUAGGCGGAAUGUAUGGUGUAGCGGUGAAAUGCUUAGAGAUCAUACAGAACACCGAUUGCGAAGGCGACCUGCUAGAACAUAACUGACGCUGAUGCGCGAAAGCGUGGGGAGCAAACAGGAUUAGAUACCCCUGUAGUC
rnacentral:rRNA from 1 species